GAAAAUUAUUAUAAAGGAAAAAAAUUUUGGAAAUAUUAGUUAGAAAAAUAUAUUUUAUUACAUUUGAUAAACCUUGCUGGUUUAAUUUAUUAAAACUUAUAAAAAUAUGUUGCAAAUUAAUUCUUUAUUCCUAUGGAUGCUUGUUUUAACUUUCGUUUUUUCAUCGAUAUUACAAGUCCGACCUGAAGAAGGCUUAGAAGUUCAAUCUAAUGAUCAUCGAGAAACAACUAUAUCCAAUUUGGGUACUGUUAGAUGUUUUCAUGUAACACGAAUUAGGACAACUACAAUUGGUCGAUUUCUGAAACAUAUUGGUCGUAGAUGAAUCUUUCAACUUGUACGAGGAGGCUUUAGGAUAAUAAUUUCAGCAUUGGGGACAUAAUUCACUACUAAAUUUUUAUUAUUUAUAUUAUUUUGAUGAUAUUUUAAAAAAUUAUAAAAUGUAUGAUUAUUUAGAUAUUGUUUUUUGUUUCUAAUUUCGCUAACAAAUAAAAGAGUAUUUAAAAUUUU